UAUUCUGCCCCACGGGGAAGGAUGAGAAGCUUCGACUAAGGUUCGACUCGAGCGAAGCGAGAGAACGUUGCCGCAGGCAACGGCCCGAAGGGCGAGGAGCGAUAGCGACGAGUUAUCCUUCCCCACCACCA
rnacentral:sRNA from 1 species